GAUGAACGCUAGCUACAGGCUUAACACAUGCAAGUCGAGGCACCGGCGCACGGGUGAGUAACACGUAUCCAACCUGCCCUUUACUCGGUGAUAGCCUUUCGAAAGAAAGAUUAAUACCCGAUGUAAAGGAUGGGGAUGCGUUCUAUUAGGUUGUUGGUGAGGUAACGGCUCACCAAGCCUUCGAUUGAUAGGGGUUCUGAGAGGAAGGUCCCCAACAGUGGAACUGAAACACGAUCCAAACUCGUACGGGAGGCAGCAGUGAGAAAUAUUGGUCAAUGUGCGUUAGCCUGAACCAGCCAAGUAGCGUGAAGGAUGAAGGCUUAUGGGUCGUAAACUUCUUUAAUAUAAGAAUAUGUAUUAUAUGAAUAAGGAUCGGCUAACUCCGUGCCAGCAGCCGCGGUAAUUC
rnacentral:rRNA from 1 species